CAAGAUCAUGAUGAAGCAGUAAGAGAACAAUGUAUUCAUAGUCAUAACCAUCAAAAUCAGGUGGGGAUAGCAUGCAUCUUGCUUGUGUAGAGAGUGUUCAAUAAUAUACUGAAUAAAAUACUGAACAUUGAUAUAAUGAUUACAAAAAUCUUCCUGCUAUGGAGGUCAAGCUAGAUACAAACUCCUUUUCUGCAGUAUCUAAUGGAUUCUAUCCAUGGAUGGUACUCAAAGUGUGGACAACAGGACACCAGGCUCCCUAUUUUUUUUGUAACAAAGCAGAUAAGGGUAACCAAACUAAAGCAUGGCCACAACAUGAUACGCAAUGAACUUCUCUAUUUGACAGAUAACAUGCGAGCAUGAUUUUUACGCUGAGACGGAGCAGAUGAUUGUGGGAGCUUUGCAUCGGGAUGUCAACAACUUGGUGACCACUGAAGGCAGAGGCUAGCGGGAGAGCAAGCGGCAUGUGGCUGGAGGAAGAAGGAGCUACAACACAUGAGAGUAGGCGGAGGUGGCUCCAGUAGAGAUGUCACGAGCAGGGGUCGGCGGUCGUGAGAGACGAUGUUUGCAUAAUUCAACACGCCGCCACCACAACUUCUUCCCUGUGGUGCAAAAUUCAAAACAAUGAGAUCAAUCUUUUUAUAGAGGACAAAGCCAGAGCUAGAUGCACCACAGAUUAGAGAGAGGGAACAACAAAUUACAAAGGUGGUUAUGUAGUAAUAUGAUAAAAUAUGACAGUUUCAACCAGUGGGCAGUUCUUGUAUUAUUUAUUAGCUGGCUACUUUUUUCACCGCUUAUUGAUGUGAUGGUUAUCUCAGCUUACUCAUAAAUAACAGGGGUGUAAUUUCGUACAAAAAGGUGUUGGUAGGAUGACAAUCUCUUUGGAAUAUUUUGUUCAACUAAUGUUUUUUUAUUCUUCUCACUCAGGAUAAAGCGAUUGGACGAGGCGUGCCUUGAGAGUAUCAACAAUACAAUAGAACAUACAUCCAGUCGUGGAUUCUUCAGGGUUAGUCUUCCCAUACUUUUUUUCAUUUGAAUCUUUAUAAAAACCUACAUACUUGUUUAAAUUAAUUGGUUAUUUUACGUUUUAAUAACCUCUAGUUCAAGAAGCAAACUCUGACCAUGCCAAAUAAGCCGAAACGUAUCGCAUGCUAUUAGCUUUUCAUUCUGAACCGAAUCAAGAACAACAAGAAUGGCUACUCCUGCUCAUAUAUAAUAUAUUGAUGAAUCUGUAUUAGCAAGCGCCAAAAGAGAAGGUGCACUUUCGAAAAAAAGGUAGAUUUUUACUUGUGUGUGCACCCGUUUUAAUGGCGUGUCACAAUAUCACUGGUGCAUAGGAGGCAUGUGUGUUGUUCAUGCAGAAUGGCCAUGGUGCAUCUGAAACACAGGCUUCUCGAUGUCCAGCAUGUGCAUAAAUACAUGACUAUACCCGCUGCCAUUAAACUCAUCUAGGACCUCAUCCACCACAAAGAUUAGGAUUUUGUCCUUGACACAAAUACCAUGAAUCGUUUUUGCUUCUUGAUAACAUGGACCCAGGGAACUUCCAAUUGCAAUGGUGUUUGAUGCCGCAUAUAGCAUGUUGUCGCACUGAAGUUGAAUCUCAUCCUUCUAGACAGUUAACAGUGUGGUUCUCUAUAGAGUUUUAACAAACAAAAUAUCUUAUCUUUGGCUUAAGGCCCAGGCUAAGGGAUAUCUUGUCUCUAACUGACAACUAACUAACUUGAAUGAUACUAUUUCUAACUUCAAGAUAACAGAGAUUACAUCCCUUAAUUGGAGCCAACUAAGGCUUCCUUAUUCCCUGUGCUAGUGAGAACUACACCUUAUAGUUGGAACAGAGGGGGUAUUAAGCAUUGUUUUCUAGUUGUCUGUCUUCAGCAUGUCUACAUUGGUACUGCCUAAUAUGCUAAGAUAGGCUCUAUGGAAUUGGUUGGGAAAAACUUCGAACUCGCUGCACUUAAAAUUCCCUACUGCAGCAUAUUUUGUAUACUUAUACAUGGUUCUCAUGCUACUGCCACAUUUGAUGUGUCCAAGCAAUUUCAGGAUUAUUUAGACACUUACCCUUUCACAUGUGACCUUCUAACCUUAUAUAUUUUGCAUGUACAACCAUAUAUGUAAAUUACCCUACAUUAUUCAACCUCUUGUAUGUUAUAUGUAAGGUCCAUGUGAAUGGCAGAGUUGUGAACAAAGCUGGAACGCAAGUAUCUGACAAGUCAAUCAUAUAACUCAAGGUUGAAAUCCUGAAAUAUGUAUGUAGGUGAUGCUCUAAAUAAUUAGCUAUAUUUAGUUCCAUUCUCCUAUUUGAAAGUAAUAGUAACAUCAGGUUCACAAAGUUCACAAUCGUAUCGUUUCUUGUGGCCAAAUUCAGGGUUGGGCAUAAGCUUGAGGCAGCUGUCAAAGAAUUUGGAGUUGACUGUGAUGGAAAGAUAGCCCGUGAUCCAGCGCUGUCUACAGGUGGUUUUACCUAAUGCUUACUUCAGCAUGAGGAAAUUUAGAAAACUGUUCAAUUCAUGAACUCCAAUGGAUAAAUCUACCCAAAAAUUUCAGCACAUGGUUUCCAAUUCAAAAGAUCAAACACAGCAAACUGGUUGUUUAGCCCAGCACUAAAAAUCAAACUCACCUCUAUCAAAUCUCAGGCUAGCGUACUCCUUA
rnacentral:lncRNA from 1 species